GUAGUUUAGUUGAAAAUGCCAGCUUUGGGAGUUGGUGAUAAGGGUUUGACUCCUUUC
rnacentral:tRNA from 1 species